UACGAAGGGGGCUAGCGUUGCUCGGAAUCACUGGGCGUAAAGGGUGCGUAGGCGGGUUUUUAAGUCAGAGGUGAAAUCCUGGAGCUCAACUCCAGAACUGCCUUUGAUACUGAAAGUCUUGAGUAUGGGAGAGGUGAGUGGAACUGCGAGUGUAGAGGUGAAAUUCGUAGAUAUUCGGAAGAACACCAGUGGCGAAGGCGACUCACUGGACACGUAUUGACGCUGAGGUGCGAAAGCGUGGGGAGCAAACAGG
rnacentral:rRNA from 1 species